GGUGAACGCUGGCGGCGUGCCUAAUACAUGCAAGUCGAGCGAACGGACGAGAAGCUUGCUUUUCUGAUGUUAGCGGCGGACGGGUGAGUAACACGUGGAUAACCUACCUAUAAGACUGGGAUAACUUCGGGAAACCGGAGCUAAUACCGGAUAAUAUUUUGAACCGCAUGGUUCAUAAGUGAAAGACGGUCUUGCUGUCACUUAUAGAUGGAUCCGCGCUGCAUUAGCUAGUUGGUAAGGUAACGGCUUACCAAGGCAACGAUGCAUAGCCGACCUGAGAGGGUGAUCGGCCACACUGGAACUGAGACACGGUCCAGACUCCUACGGGAGGCAGCAGUAGGGAAUCUUCCGCAAUGGGCGAAAGCCUGACGGAGCAACGCCGCGUGAGUGAUGAAGGUCUUCGGAUCGUAAAACUCUGUUAUUAGGGAAGAACAUAUGUGUAAGUAACUGUGCACAUCUUGACGGUACCUAAUCAGAAAGCCACGGCUAACUACGUG
rnacentral:rRNA from 1 species